rnacentral:rRNA from 1 species
AGAGAUGUGUGAUGACGCAUAUCAAUAAGCGGAGGAAAAGAAACUAACAAGGAUUCCCUUAGUAACGGCGAGUGAAGCGGGAAGAGCUCAAAUUUGAAAUCUUCAAGGUUCUACCUUGACGAAUUGUAGUUUAUAGAAGUGUUUUCUGUUAGUAGAGUGGCAAAAGUUCUUUGGAAUAGGACAUCAUAGAGGGUGAGAAUCCCGUAUUUGGUCAUUCUUUCUAGCUUUGUGAUACACUUUCAACGAGUCGGAUUGUUUGGGAAUGCAGUCCAAAAUGGGUGGUAAAUUUCAUCUAAAGCUAAAUAUUGGCGAGAGACCGAUAGCGAACAAGUACCGUGAGGGAAAGAUGAAAAGAACUUUGAAAAGAGAGUUAAACAGUACGUGAAAUUGUCAAAAGGGAAGCGUUUGACACCAGUGUUGUUUUUCCGAAAAUCAAUUACGAAUGUUUUGUUUUUGAGAAGUUAUGACUUCAUCGGCUUGCUUCUCUCUUUACUGAAACUUUCUUAAUGCACUUUUCGGUUAACAAGUCAACAUCAAUUUCUUUUGUUGUAAAAGGGUAUGAGGAAGGUGGCUUUCUUUUCGGAGAAAGUGUUUAUAGCCUUGUACCUCUGCAAUCGGAGAGAUUGAGGUCUGCAGCGUAGAUCCUUCGGGGUUAGAUACAUUUGUGCUAAGUUAUAGCUUUUCAUAGACAACUUGUUGACUAUGUUAAGUCUUGUAGCUUACUCGCUUAUGCUAUUUUACCUACGCUUAGGAUGUUGAUCUGUAGUGCGUGCGC